AUAAAAUCACACGUUGACUACUAUUAGUCUGCUUUAACAAAGUUUUGUAAGUGACUGGCCACUAAUCGCGUUUACCACAAAAGGAACUAACAAAGACUACCUUUUGAAAUUUUCUUUCAAUUCGGUGUUAAGAAUAAACGCACAAAUUAGUCAAAAUAGUUAGAAGAUCAAAUUUUGCGAUCGAAAAUAUUUAUCUGAUAAUAAUUGAUAUCGUAAAAGUGACUAUUAUUAUUCGUAAUCAGAUACAACGAAUUACAGAGUAUCGCAGUAAUAAACGAGUUAAUUAUAAGCAAUAUGCACACAUAUUUGGAUCGUCCUUUCUAUGAUUUUUUGGGUAAUGAGUGAGCGACAAGAUCGUACUUGGUAAUUUGAUUGAUAUUUCGUCGAAUAGGUUCUACCGCUUUACCAAAAGUAAUUAGUUAAUAAAGCUAAUACUUGGUAUCAAUUUUUGGGUAAACUUCUAUAGGUAAAAAAAAAAUGAUUUACGUUGAUUAAAUGUGCCACGUUCCACUUUUAAAAGCCGAAAACGUUUGAAAUUGCAUAUUUAUAUUAUUUUUAAUAGCUCAAUAUUCCAUUCAUACGCUUGCUUUAUGCAACGCCAAUCAUUGUUUAUUGAAAGAUACCAUCAUUUCUUGUAGCUCACAGAAACUUGGCCGAACGGCUGUUUAGAAGUAAAUAAAUAAGGAAU